rnacentral:rRNA from 1 species
UACGUAGGGUGCGAGCGUUGUCCGGAAUUAUUGGGCGUAAAGAGCUCGUAGGCGGUGUGUCACGUCGUUCGUGAAAACCUGCAGCUUAACUGUGGGCGUGCGGUCGAUACGGGCAUCACUGGAGUUCGGCAGGGGAGACUGGAAUUCCUGGUGUAGCGGUGAAAUGCGCAGAUAUCAGGAGGAACACCGGUGGCGAAGGCGGGUCUCUGAGCCGAUACUGACGCUGAGGAGCGAAAGCGUGGGGAGCGAACAGG